AGGACGAACGCUGGCGGCGUGCUUAACACAUGCAAGUCGAACGAGGUGCUUGCACCUAGUGGCGACCGGGUGAGUAACACGUGACUAACCUACCUUCGAGUGGGGGAUAACAUCGGGAAACCGAUGCUAAUACCGCAUAACAUCGCAAGAUCAAAGCAGCAAUGCGCUGGAAGAGGGGGUCGCGGCUGAUUAGCUAGUUGGCGGGGUAACGGCCCACAAGGCGAAGAUCGGUA
rnacentral:rRNA from 1 species